GUUAAUGUAAUUCUUAGAGAUGUUAUAAUGCCCUUAAGAAUUCGGUUCACUGGUUGGUUGCCUUCUAUGUUGUUUCAGUGCCAAUCACAAUUGAAAACCCUUUAUGCUGAAGGAAUUGAGGGAUGUCAUAUGGAGUUGUCUGCUUACAACUUACUCUCUGUAAUUUUGCACUCUAAUAAUUACAGAGAUCUCCUAUCAUCGAUGUCAAGAUAUCCCCAUUACUACUGGAAAGAUCCCAGAGCAUAUGAAAUGUCCCGAGUGUCCACGAGUCAUGGAGGCCUAUAUUAGUUUCAAGUGUUGCCACAUUGACGGUGCUAUGAAUGGACUGCAUUAGAUCCCUACUUCUCUGUCUGCUAGCUUGUAUUGCUACUAAAUAAUGUUAUUAUGUUUAAGACUUUUCUUUUUAUGCUAAUAUAGUGUUUAAGAUUUUUUUUGGUUUGUAACCAGUGCCACUAGUAUGAGGGUGGGUGUGUGUUUGAGACUUGAGUAAUGCUUCAAAAAAAGACAUCUUGAUUAA